rnacentral:rRNA from 1 species
UACGAAUGGAGCAAGCGUUGUUCGGAAUCACUGGGCUUAAAGCGUGCGUAGGCGGACAUGAAAGUCAGAUGUGAAAGCCCAGGGCUCAACCUUGGAACUGCAUUUGAAACUUCAUGUCUAGAAUCCGGGAGGGGUGAGUGGAAUUCAUAGUGUAGAGGUGAAAUUCGCAGAUAUUAUGAGGAACACCAGUGGCGAAGGCGACUCACUGGACCGGUAUUGACGCUGAGGUACGAAAGCGUGGGGAGCAAACAGG